AGGAGCAGCAAGCUGUCUUGCUCCCCACAGAGCUUUGAGGAGCUGGACCAAAAGCGUGCUCAACAGAAAGAAGAUACUGGUGCCGGGAAGCACCAGGGCCCCGAGGCAGGGCCAUUUCUAAAACCCCUGUGCCGACAGGGGUGCUGGUCCCUCUUCAAGAGCCCACUCUCUGGGGUGGGGCCGUAUCUGCAACAGAGGUGUACUGAGCAGAGCCAUGGGCUCUGCACGCAUCUCGACGCUUGGGAUGCUCUUCAUAUUGAGUGGACUGAGAGCUCAGUCGGUGGCUCAGCCGGAGGAUCGGGUCACGGUCGCCGAAGGGAAUCCUCUGACUGUGAAAUGUACCUAUUCAGUCUCUGGAACCCCUUAUCUUUUUUGGUAUGUUCAAUAUCCCAACCAAGGCCUCCAGUUCCUUCUGAAAUACGUCACAGGGGACAACCUGGUUAAAGGCAGCUGCGGCUUCGAGGCUGAAUUUAAUAAGAGCCAAACCUCUUUCCACCUGAAGAAACCAUUUGCCCUCGUGAGCGACUCCGCCUUGUACUUCUGUGCUGUGAGAGACACAGUGAUGGGGGCUGCAGGGGGAGCAGAACACAAACUCUUGAGUCUAGUACAACCCAUUUCUUGAAGUCUUUGUUCCUUUACAUGAGAGUGGUGUGGUUCCAGGAUGUGUCACUUAUUAUAAGUAAACUACAAUUUAAAACCAUAGCAUUUCUCCUUCAACAAGUGUUUAGUGAGUCCUGAUGUGCCAGGUAAUGGGCUAAGCACCAGUCAUAAAAAGGAGAAAGAAGUGUAAAACAAAUAGAAAUAAACAUAGGGAAAAAUUACCAUGACACUGGUCUAGGCUAGGACUGACUUACUUU